UACGUAGGUGGCGAGCGUUGUCCGGAUUUACUGGGCGUAAAGGGAGCGUAGGCGGACUUUUAAGUGAGAUGUGAAAUACUCGGGCUCAACUUGAGUGCUGCAUUUCAAACUGGAAGUCUAGAGUGCAGGAGAGGAGAAUGGAAUUCCUAGUGUAGCGGUGAAAUGCGUAGAGAUUAGGAAGAACACCAGUGGCGAAGGCGAUUCUCUGGACUGUAACUGACGCUGAGGCUCGAAAGCGGGGGGAGCAAACAGG
rnacentral:rRNA from 1 species